CUGAGGGUAGCUUAAAAGUUAAAGUUUAGAAUUCUUACUUCUAGGAUGUCGGUGGUGAUUCCUUAGG
rnacentral:tRNA from 1 species